rnacentral:rRNA from 1 species
UGGGGAAUUUUGGACAAUGGGGGAAACCCUGAUCCAGCCAUCCCGCGUGUGCGAUGAAGGCCUUCGGGUUGUAAAGCACUUUUGGCAGGAAAGAAACGUCAUGGGUUAAUACCCCGUGAAACUGACGGUACCUGCAGAAUAAGCACCGGCUAACUACGUGCCAGGAGCCGCGGUAAUACGUAGGGUGCAAGCGUUAAUCGGAAUUACUGGGCGUAAAGCGUGCGCAGGCGGUUCGGAAAGAAAGAUGUGAAAUCCCAGAGCUCAACUUUGGAACUGCAUUUUUAACUACCGGGCUAGAGUGUGUCAGAGGGAGGUGGAAUUCCGCGUGUAGCAGUGAAAUGCGUAGAUAUGCGGAGGAACACCGAUGGCGAAGGCAGCCUCCUGGGAUAACACUGACGCUCAUGCACGAAAGCGUGGGGAGCAAACAGG